rnacentral:lncRNA from 1 species
UCCUGAUUAAGUAAGAUAAAAAACUAACAUCCUUACAUAUAAUUGAAACCUGUCUGUGACUGGCAUUUUUGCUACUGCUGUGUUACAAAUAUUCUCAUGGUUCCAGCAGUCUCAUAACAUUACUUACAAAUGUUUUGAAAGUUGAAAAUUGGAAACAGGGUGAGUUUUUAGAACAAGGAACAAAGGUUGCUUAUGUUGAACUACGUUUGUCCACUAUGAUAUCCAACAACCAGCAAUUACAAUUCAUUACAAACUAAAAACAUAAAAUUCUUCUUCUCGAAGUUGUUGUACU